rnacentral:rRNA from 1 species
GACGAACGCAGGCGGCGUGCGUAAUACAUGCAAGUAGAACGCUGAAGGAGGAGCUUGCUUCUCUGGAUGAGUUGCGAACGGGUGAGUAACGCGUAGGUAACCUGCCUGGUAGCGGGGGAUAACUAUUGGAAACGAUAGCUAAUACCGCAUAAUAGUAGAUGUUGCAUGACAUUUGCUUAAAAGGUGCAAUUGCAUCACUACCAGAUGGACCUGCGUUGUAUAAGCUAGUUGGUGGGGUAACGGCUCACCAAGGCGACGAUACAUAGCCGACCUGAGAGGGUGAUCGGCCACACUGGGACUGAGACACGGCCCAGACUCCUACGGGAGGCAGCAGUAGGGAAUCUUCGGCAAUGGACGGAAGUCUGACCGAGCAACGCCGCGUGAGUGAAGAAGGUUUUCGGAUCGUAAAGCUCUGUUGUAAGAGAAGAACGAGUGUGAGAGUGGAAAGUUCACACUGUGACGGUAUCUUACCAGAAAGGGACGGCUAACUACGUGCCAGCAGCCGCGGUAAUACGUAGGUCCCGAGCGUUGUCCGGAUUUAUUGGGCGUAAAGCGAGCGUAGGCGGUUAGAUAAGUCUGAAGUUAAAGGCUGUGGCUUAACCAUAGUACGCUUUGGAAACUGUUUAACUUGAGUGCAAGAGGGGAGAGUGGAAUUCCAUGUGUAGCGGUGAAAUGCGUAGAUAUAUGGAGGAACACCGGUGGCGAAAGCGGCUCUCUGGCUUGUAACUGACGCUGAGGCUCGAAAGCGUGGGGAGCAAACAGG